rnacentral:rRNA from 1 species
GACGAACGCUGGCGGCGUGCCUAAUACAUGCAAGUCGAGCGAAGCGGCGGCUGGGUGAGUAACGCGUGGGUAACCUGCCCUUUAUUCUGGGAUACAAUUUGGAAACAGAUGCUAAUACCGGAUACUAAAGAAUGGACCUGCGAUGCGUUAGCUAGUUGGGAAGGUAACGGCUUACCAAGGCGAUGAUGCAUAGCCGGGUUGAGAGACUGAUCGGCAAAAUUGGGACUGAGACACGGCCCAAACUCCGACGGGAGGCAGCAGUGGGGAAUAUUGCACAAUGGGCGCAAGCCUGAUGCAGCCAUGCCGCGUGUAUGAAGAAGGCCUUCGGGUUGUAAAGUACUUUCAGCGAGGAGGCGUUACUCGCAGAAGAAGCACCGGCUAACUCCGUGCCAGCAGCCGCGGUAAUUC